UAGGAGAUGGCCUCAGAGCAAGGACUUCCA
rnacentral:piRNA from 1 species